rnacentral:lncRNA from 1 species
CUCACCAUACUAAAUAGCUUCUGACAUGUCAUUUUUGUUUUGUUUUGAGAAAAACAAAAUUAAAAUCAACCGGUUUAAAGCUUUAAAGCUAAAUGCCUUGCGUGUUUUUAUUUUAUAACCUAAAAAUCAAAACCAAUAAACACUUUUUUUUUUUUUUUUUAAAUCCUUUUCUGAACAGAAAAAAACGAAUUACCAAAACAUACAGUCAGUACACGGCGCAUGAUGUCUAAAUGCUUGUGGACCAAACAGUGUUUCUUUAGAACGCCCUCUGACGGACAUAAAAGAUCAUCGCCCUUUUCCGCAAAGCGACGCUUUCACUGUUGCCAUGGACAACAGAGUCCAAACAAGCAAAGAGCGAACUUUAGGUUGCCAGAUCUGCUGUAUUCUGUGAUCAAUAUGAGCUCCCCACUGUCCAUGCUGAAGAAAACCAGGCGCUCUCCUCUGCAGGGCCAGCUGAAGAAGCAGCGGGAUGGACUAACAGGGCCUUUCAGGAGAAGUAUGCGGCAAGAAUUGAGGACAGAGCAGGUUCAAGGGGAUUCCUCUGAAACAAACCCUUUACCCCCAUCAUCCAACACUUCACUCAUAGAUGCAUUCACACGUAAACCCAAAGCCUCCAAUGAUACAGAUGCUCCUCCGAGUGACUCUGAGCUCAUGUCUGUGAUGAUGAGGCGACUCAGUCAGCUGGAGAAAACAGCUGAGAGCCAAGCACAGGAGAUAGAGCGUAAGGUGGGCCAACACACUGGUUUCAGACUGGAUGUGACAAAUUAACUGCUUGGUGUUUUUCUCCUUCCUGAAGGACAAAACUAUUGCAGAUCUGCAGGACAGGCUGAAGACUCUGACAGGUUUGGGUAAUUACCUCCAACAUACACACAUUAGGUUACCAGAGGGUUGGGGUCAAUUACAUUGUUCAAUUACAAUUACAUCUUCAAUUAAAGCUGCAAGCAGCAUUGAAUGGGCCCUCGCAACCACACGCAUGUUGGGAAGUGGAGUACG